rnacentral:tRNA from 1 species
GUCCCUGUAGCACAAUGGAUUGUGCAUUGGACUUCUAAUCCAAAUGUCAUGUGUUCGAAUCCUACCUGGGAUG